AGUGAACGCUGGCGGUAGGCCUAACACAUGCAAGUCGAACGGCAGCACAGUAAGAGCUUGCUCUUACGGGUGGCGAGUGGCGGACGGGUGAGGAAUACAUCGGAAUCUACUUUUUCGUGGGGGAUAACGUAGGGAAACUUACGCUAAUACCGCAUACGACCUACGGGUGAAAGCAGGGGAUCUUCGGACCUUGCGCGAUUGAAUGAGCCGAUGUCGGAUUAGCUAGUUGGCGGGGUAAAGGCCCACCAAGGCGACGAUCCGUAGCUGGUCUGAGAGGAUGGUCAGCCACACUGGAACUGAGACACGGUCCAGACUCCUACGGGAGGCAGCAGUGGGGAAUACUGGACAAUGGGCGCAAGCCUGAUCCAGCCAUACCGCGUGGGUGAAGAAGGCCUUCGGGUUGUAAAGCCCUUUUGUUGGGAAAGAAAAGCAGCAGGUUAAUACCCCGCUGUUCUGACGGUACCCAAAGAAUAAGCACCGGCUAACUUCGUG
rnacentral:rRNA from 1 species